GACAGAGGGUGCAAACGUUGUUCGGAAUUACUGGGCGUAAAGCGCAUGUAGGCGGCCAAGCAAGUCGGGUGUGAAAGCCCAGGGCUCAACCCUGGAAGUGCACUCGAAACUGCUCGGCUGGAGUCUCGGAGAGGGUCGCGGAAUUCUGGGUGUAGAGGUGAAAUUCGUAGAUAUCCAGAGGAACACCAGUGGCGAAGGCGGCGACCUGGACGAGUACUGACGCUGAGAUGCGAAAGCGUGGGGAGCAAACAGG
rnacentral:rRNA from 1 species